GGGUUAAUUUUUGCAAUGGGGCGUUGGUUGAUGUUAGGACUUAGGAAUGAGGAUGGAUCAUCUGAAUUUUAAGGGCGGAUCUAGAACCAAUCAUUAUUUACCUGGGUUUUUUUUUUUUUCCAGAAAAAGUGAUAUCGUGCGGUCAAAAGUGAAUAUGAAAUUUCAUUUUAGGCAAAAAAAUAAAAUAUAUAUCUAAUAAGGGGACAUCAGUACUCUUAUCCUUAAAACUAUUUACACUAAGCAAAACGAUUAGAUACGGAAGGUAGAAAAAUAAAAGGACAAUCUAAAUACGUUGAAUCACCAGCCAAAUGCCAAAUGGAGACGAAUUGAAGAAAUUAGAUUAAGAAUCAAAGCCAUUAAGGAGUAGGAACUAGGAAAGGUGAAAGGGUAGGAAACCAGAAAGAUUAUCCCAUGCGGCUAAAUGGCUAAUGAUACUUCUCUCCUCAACCGCUUCCUCUGUUUGCUGCCUUUCUUCGUUAUGGGUUAUUCCCCCGCCUCACUCACGAAUCGUCCCUAUUUGAAUCAAUUAUUUAAUAAAUUUGAAUCAAUUAUUUAAUUACUUAAAUAAAUUAGAUAACUGAAAGUUCUUCAUUUUUUUUAAAUUUUAAAAAAUAUUAUAAGUAACAAAAAAAACAACAAUUAAUUAAUUGUGCCAAUUAUAUAUAUACUAUAUCUGCUACAAAUUUACUGUCCAAGAGGCUAAGAAAUUUAAUUGUGUCAAUUAUAUAUAUUUCAAUCCCUAAUUAUCUAUCCAAAAUAAAUCCUAAACAAGUAUGACAAAUAAAAAAAAAAUGAUAAUAAGAUGAGUAAUUUUAAUAAGUUAAUAAUAAAGUACCAGUUUUACCUGGAAGAAUCACUGGAAAAAAUUAAACUCGUGAAAAGGAUGAAACUGGCUGGAAGAUUGUUCUCUUGAUCGUGGAAUGAAGAUGAAAAGGGAGGGUCAAAAGUCAAAACACAUAAUUGGGGAAUGCGGCAGUUUUGUAAUUGCGCUG
rnacentral:lncRNA from 1 species